GCUAAGCUCUCCGACGGCUGGCCGCUCCAGCACUGCAUCACCGCCCCUGGGGCCGCUACCUCUCUUCUAUUCACGAAUCCAAGCAGGUAAUCAGACCCAGACGAAGAGGAUUUGAUCCCCUGCAAUACUCGCUGGAAUCCGGUACCUCGACCUGUCUAGCCGAUCGACUCCCACUCUAGAAGUUUCACUGCCGCCGUUCUCCCUCUCAAGAAGUCUUCGUAGCGGUGCUAUGCCCAGAAAACCGCCAAGCCCUACACCGAACACCACGACGAUAGACUGCAGAUCCCGAUCUAUACCAACCCAGCGAACCCGAUUGGAACAAACCCGAAAACCAAUCCGCCGUCGCCGAACCAAAAACGAUCCAGACCAAAGUCCGCACCGCCGCCACACCAUCGUCGCACCCGAGAGGGCACCGCAACCUUGUCUGGUCAGGGGAGCGAAGCUACACCGCCGCCAGCAACACGAAACCUAGGUUUCGUACUCCAAGAUCACUCCAAAAAAAUCGGAGGCCUCUUCCAGGUGGAUUCGCUACGAGGCUUGGUGACUAGUACCUUUAGGGAUGAGAGCUUCGAGUUUCUAGGUGAUCUGUUUCAAUUUCGUCUAAUGAUAUGGUCAGAGUCGGACCUGACAUGAGGCCUGUGAGUCGGCGGUCUUAGGCCCGGUGUCUCGUCGGGACCUAAUAUUUCUUUUUCUGGAGGUAUUUUAAAAAGGUUAAGUAAAUAAAAUGUAAGUCUUUUACCAAACAAUGAGAUUGAUUUAGUUGGCAAGUUGCAUUCCUUUCCUUUAUGUUACUCCUAGACUAGAUUCGAAUCUCAUUUUUGUUAUGUAUUUAUUUAUUUUUUAAAUUAUUUUUGUAAAUAUGUUUUUUGGCUUUUUUUUUUCUUUUUUAUAAAAAAAAUGUAGGCCCAUUUUUAUUUUUCACCUCAAGUCUCAUAAUCUCAAGUCCGGGCCUGGAUAUGGUCGUGCUACCCGAUGACUUUGGGUGCGGUAUGUGUGGGGAGGCAAGUUCAUGGUGCUAGUCGAGUAGUUUGGAGCCCGGUCCUAGUUUUUAGGCUUGGGUCACCUUGUCAAGCUUAGGCUCAGUGGGUGGUUGCUUGGUGGCUUGCACCUCUUUGGGCCCGAUUCUAGGACCCUUGUGGAUUCUGUUUGAGAGUAUGGGAUUCAGGUAGUGGAGGCUAGUAUUACCCUAAGGGAGGCCCCCUCUAAGUAGGGAGGUCCUUGGAUUUCUGAAUAGUAUUUCGGUUUUUAAUCCCGAAGAUUCUGCUAUCCACCUAGGUGAGGGUCACCUGGUGACGUGGCAGAGGGACAGGAUGACGUGGCAGAACAACAUAGGCCGAAUGAAAAGUUGUAGGGUCCUCUCUGACCCAAUCUGUCUCCCCCCCCGUCCCCCCGUUACCGUCUUCUUACGAACAGGUUUGGGAAAAAAAAAAAAAGUGAGUUCGAUUGAGAGAGAGGACGGGUAAAAAACAAAAAUGGCUACAAUGCCAAACAUCCCGGGUUCCGCUCCCCUAGUGUUGAGAAAACCUCCUCUCCAUCUCCGGCGGCGUCAUCCCCUAACAGCGGCGUCGUCGGACAGUUCCUUUUCGACUCAGUUUGGGUCUGAUGUGAGGUUUGCGACAUCGGCGAGUCGGCGAUUAGUGUGAUUGGGACAUCGCGGUGGCGGUGUGGGAGUUGAGGGAGGAGGAGAUUGGAGAAUUGGCUGGGUGUCGAAUGAACGGAGACUGCCUGGUGGAGACGAGAUCGUGCCGGCGCGGCUUGGAUCCGAUCAAUUUGAUCUGGUUUGGACUGGGUCGCAUGAGUCCGAUCUGGGAAAGGGAUGGGAUGGAAAGGUUGUCGCUGCUCCAUGGUUAAAUGGUCGACGGCUCGAUGGGAAUGGCGGUGGGAUGAAGGCGGCGGUCCCGCGAAGGUGGCUGUGCGGCGCAGCGAGUGGUUUGUCGGAGGUGGUGGGGUUGGGCCGGGUUGAAUGGUUUGUUGAGUGGGUUGAGAUCAGAGGUCGAAAUGGGCCUAUACGUGGUGGUAGUUGGGCCUGGGCGUUUGCCAAUGCCUUGGGUCUUUUUUGUAUUUAUUUUUUUUACGUAUUUUUAUUUUGUAUGAAUUGUUUUGUGAUAAUUUAUUUUAAUAAACUACAUUUUAUUA